rnacentral:rRNA from 1 species
CACCAAGACGACGAUGGAUAGGGGUUCUGAGAGGAAGGUCCCCCACAUUGGAACUGAGACACGGUCCAAACUCCUACGGGAGGCAGCAGUGAGGAAUAUUGGUCAAUGGACGAGAGUCUGAACCAGCCAAGUAGCGUGAAGGAUGACUGCCCUAUGGGUUGUAAACUUCUUUUAUAUGGGAAUAAAACAGGGUAUGCAUACCCUCUUGUAUGUACCAUAUGAAUAAGGAUCGGCUAACUCCGUGCCAGCAGCCGCGGUAAUACGGAGGAUCCGAGCGUUAUCCGGAUUUAUUGGGUUUAAAGGGAGCGUAGGUGGAUUGUUAAGUCAGUUGUGAAAGUUUGCGGCUCAACCGUAAAAUUGCAGUUGAAACUGGCAGUCUUGAGUACAGUAGAGGUGGGCGGAAUUCGUGGUGUAGCGGUGAAAUGCUUAGAUAUCACGAAGAACUCCGAUUGCGAAGGCAGCUCACUGGACUGCAACUGACACUGAUGCUCGAAAGUGUGGGUAUCAAACAGGAUUAGAUACCCUGGUAGUCCACACAGUAAACGAUGAAUACUCGCUGUUUGCGAUA